rnacentral:lncRNA from 1 species
CCCAAAUUAGAAAGUAUUUCUCAUCUUCAUUCAUAUGUAAGGCCAUCUCCUUCUUAGCAUUCAUCAAAUCACCCUAUAUAUAACUCAUGGCCAUGCCUAAGCAUUUCUACCAAGGGCUCCCACAAUUCUAAAGCAAAUGACAUAUUAUUCCAAAAUUUAAACCUCAGAAAUAUGCCUUGAAUCUUCUUUCCUUGAUCUUUGUUACACCAUUUAGAAGUCUCCCAAUCACUAACUCCAUCCUCUUACUCAUCAUACUCUACCAGCUCAAAAGAAGAAAGCAAAUUGAAUCUUUCCUGGUCUCACCAAAUCCCUUUUAUCCGUGAACUUUUUCAUCAUAUGAAGGCUUAAGGUAUGCCCAUAUAAACUUGCUUUGGCACAUAGUGCUUGCCAUAACCCAAAAGUGUAACGGCUGUUAUGACAGCUUUUUACCUGCUAUAUCAUGCAGUAUAGACC